rnacentral:rRNA from 1 species
AGUUUUUUGAAAUCUGAUAAAAAACAUAUAUCCUGCCCAGUGAAUAUUCAACGGCUGCGGUACCCUAACCGUACAAAGGUAGCAUAAUAAUUUGCCCAUUAAUUGUGGGAUAGAAUGAAUGGAAAAAUGAGAGAAAGACUGUAUCAUUUUUACCACUAAAAACUAAUAUUCAAGUGAAGAAGCUUGAAUAAAUCUAACGGACAAGAAGACCCUAUAGAGCUUUAAUUUAAAUAGAUAGCAUCUAUUCACAUUUCGGUUGGGGCGACCAAGGAAUAAUCAUCCUAUAAACUAAGAUUUACAAAUCUUUAUAAAGAUCCUAUAAUAGAUCAAAGAAUCAAGUUACCUUAGGGAUAACAGGCUAAUUUUAUUUAAGAGUUCUUAUCUACAAUAAAGAUUGGCACCUCGAUGUUGGCUUAGAAUUUCUACUAAACGCAAAAGUUUAAACAGAGGGUUUGUUCAACCCACAAUAUUCU